AGAUGGUAUAGAGCUCCGGAGCUGUUGUAUGGUGCCAGGAAGUAUGACGAAGGAGUGGAUCUCUGGGCCGUUGGUUGUAUCUUUGGGGAACUGUUGAACAACUCGCCAUUGUUUCCAGGAGAGAAUGACAUAGAACAGCUCUGCCAAGUGUUACGAGUGCUGGGUACUCCUAAUGAGAAGAUCUGGCCUGGCAUUUCUGAGUUGCCAGACUACAAUAAAAUCACAUUUCCUGAGAACAACCCUAUCCCUCUCGAAGAAAUAGUUCCUGAUGCAUCUGCUGAGGCUUUGAACCUUCUUAAGAAAUUCCUUGUUUAUCCAACCAAACAGAGAAUAUCUGCCAAAGAGGCGCUGCUCCAUCCUUACUUCUUCACGGAGCCUCUUCCCGCACACCAUUCCGAACUACCCAUUCCACAGCGCAGCAGACGUGGGUUACCACGGCGACAGCAAACACAUGACUAUAACAUUGACAUUCCAUUAGAAAAGACUUUAAUCGACCCGGAACUGCUUGCACCUCAUGUUGUCAAAAUCAAGUGAAUCAGAGUUGUAUGUUACAUGUAAAUGUAUAUAUAUACCAUUAUGUUGCAAAAUACUUAUGGACUGUUUCGGUAUGGAAAGUGAAGAGAUACUUGUGAAAGGUACUGAACCAUUUAAAAGUAUUUAAGUGUCUAUGAAAAUCAUUACAAGGAUGAGGAUAAAAGUUCUAUACAUAUUGACAAUACUGGUGAGAUAAGCAUUAAGAAAUGCCAUCCAAAAUAUAUGUAAUGUACAUUUUCAAAUGGAUUUUUGAUUUCAUUACCAUUGUAAAUUGCUUGUUCAUUAUCAAUUACUGAACCAAGUUCUUUAAUGUCCAAAUGAAAAGUUAAUCAAAGAUGGUAAAGUAAUGGAAGUGAAUAAAAACCGGAUAACAUG
rnacentral:misc_RNA from 1 species